rnacentral:rRNA from 1 species
UUGAACGCUGGCGGCAUGCCUUACACAUGCAAGUCGCACGGCAGCACGGGUGCUUGCACCUGGUGGCGCGUGGCGAACGGGUGAGUAAUACAUCGGAACAUGUCCUGUAGUGGGGGAUAGCCCGGCGAAAGCCGGAUUAAUACCGCAUACGAUCUACGGAUGAAAGCGGGGGACCUUCGGGCCUCGCGCUAUAGGGUUGGCCGAUGGCUGAUUAGCUAGUUGGUGGGGUAAAGGCCUACCAAGGCGACGAUCAGUAGCUGGUCUGAGAGGACGACCAGCCACACUGGGACUGAGACACGGCCCAGACUCCUACGGGAGGCAGCAGUGGGGAAUUUUGGACAAUGGGCGAAAGCCUGAUCCAGCAAUGCCGCGUGUGUGAAGAAGGCCUUCGGGUUGUAAAGCACUUUUGUCCGGAAAGAAAUCCUUGGCCCUAAUACGGUCGGGGGAUGACGGUACCGGAAGAAUAAGCACCGGCUAACUACGUG